CCAGCUACUUAUUAGGCUGAGGCAGGAUAAUUGCUUGAACCUGGGAGGCGGAGUUUGCAGAGGCCUGAGCUAGUUCCUCUUGAGCUCACUUCCCUUUGCUCCCUUCCCUCAGCUCAGUCUUGCACCUUGAGGAGCCUGGGGGACACGUGAGGACACCUUCAGCAUGGUCCACACCCUCCAUUCACCCCCCCAACCUCUGCCCAUGGCUACCACUUGAGCCUCAGGGUGGGCACACCAGGAGCAGGGUCUGCCACCCAGGGGACAGGCCCGGGGAAGACAGGUGUACAGCUGCCUGGGUGGACGAUCUGGGCUCCCAGGUACCCAGAGGAUGGUCUAG
rnacentral:lncRNA from 1 species